UACGUAGGGACCAAGCGUUGUUCGGAUUUACUGGGCGUAAAGGGCGCGUAGGCGGCAAUUCAAGUCAUCUGUGAAAUCUCCGGGCUUAACUCGGAACGGUCAGAUGAUACUGCUUUGCUAGAGUGCGGAAGGGGCAAUCGGAAUUCUCGGUGUAGCGGUGAAAUGCGUAGAUAUCGAGAGGAACACCUGAGGUGAAGACGGGUUGCUGGGCCGACACUGACGCUGAAGCGCGAAAGCUAGGGAGCAAACGGG
rnacentral:rRNA from 1 species